CAAUUUUUCUUUCGAAUGUUGUAUCGCAAUUUUGUUCAACUCGUAAAACCUCAGCAUCCUGCAAGUACUUCGCGAUAAAGAUAUCCUUGUCUGAGAACUGCGCGCCGUACGAUCUGAAACGCCAAGCAACAAAUUCAAUAUAUGCAAAAAGUUGCUUAUUACAGGAUCAAGGUAAAAAUAAAGAUAUACAAAGGCUAACUACCCGAAUAAAUGAGAAGCUUACUC